AACGAACGCUGGCGGCAGGCCUAACACAUGCAAGUCGAGCGAGGACUUCGGUCCUAGCGGCGGACGGGUGAGUAACGCGUGGGAACGUGCCCUUUGCUUCGGAAUAGCCCUGGUAAACUGGGAGUAAUACCGGAUGAGCCCUUUGGGGGAAAGAUUUAUCGGCGAAGGAUCGGCCCGCGUUGGAUUAGGUAGUUGGUGGGGUAAUGGCCUACCAAGCCGACGAUCCAUAGCUGGGUUGAGAGGAUGCUCAGCCACACUGGGACUGAGACACGGCCCAGAAUCCUACGGGAGGCAGCAGUGGGGAAUCUUAGACAAUGGGGGAAACCCUGAUCUAGCCAUGCCGCGUGAGCGAUGAAGGCCUUAGGGUUGUAAAGCUCUUUCAGCUGGGAAGAUAAUGACGGUACCAGCAGAAGAAGCCCCGGCUAACUCCGUG
rnacentral:rRNA from 1 species